rnacentral:rRNA from 1 species
GAUGAACGCUGGCGGCGUGCCUAAUACAUGCAAGUCGAACGCAUUGUGGUUGAAAUGAUAUGAAGAACUUGUUCAGAUUUGAUUUUCAACAUUGCAAUGAGUGGCGAACGGGUGAGUAACACGUGGGAAACCUACCUCUUAGCAGGGGAUAACAUUUGGAAACAAAUGCUAAUACCGUAUAAUAAUUAAAACCGCAAUGGUUUUAGUUUAAAAGAUGGUCUUGCUAUCACUAAGAGAUGGUCCCGCGGUGUAUUAGUUAGUUGGUGAGGUAAUGGCUCACCAAGACAAUGAUACAUAGCCGAGUUGAGAGACUGACCGGCCACAAUGGGACUGAGACACGGCCCAUACUCCUACGGGAGGCAGCAGUAGGGAAUCUUCCACAAUGGACGAAAGUACUGAUGGAGCAACGCCGCGUGUGUGAUGAAGGGUUUCGGCUCGUAAAACACUGUUGUAAGAGAAGAAUGACAUUGAGAGUAACUGUUCAAUGUGUGACGGUAUCUU